AUUCUCUGGGGGCUCAUAAGCAUGAUGAUGGGGUGUUCACACUUACUGUGUGAAAGUGCUUCCUCUGAACUUCAUUAUGGUAAUGUUGGCACAUAACCCAGCUGAUG